rnacentral:rRNA from 1 species
UGCAGCAGCAUACCACCCUGCAUCCCACUGCUGGCUUGCUUCUGAAGCUAAGCAGGGUUGGUCCUGGAUGGGAGACCAGAUGCUGCUGGAA